rnacentral:misc_RNA from 1 species
AAGUCGUAACAAGGUUUCCGUAGGUGAACCUGCGGAAGGAUCAUUAACACGUAUCCAACGUUAAACCCCCCGUGAACUUUUAUUGCGAACCACGCCUUUGUUAGAAAGUAGCAAUCCCUGGUAAAUCAUCGCCGAACAGUUUUGAUUCAGGGAUCUCUGCGAAGAGAGCGGUUGUAGCGCGAGGUAAGUGGCCUGGCAUUCCUCUGCUUGUUAGUGUCUGACAGUGUCACUAGCUCUGUACGAAUGGCGCAGUCACGAUCCGACCGGGUCACCGGGCAUAGACCCCCCUAUCACCUUUGCAUGAAAACGGGCCUGCGCUUAAUUGUGCGGCCACCAAACUCGAACAACUGUUAACAAUGGAUAUCUUGGUUCUC